GGGUCCAUGGGUGUCUAUGGGUGCUAUGGGUGCUGUGUGUGCUGUGUGUGUCUAUGGGUGCUGUGUGUGCUGUGUGUGUCUAUGGGUGUCUAUGUGUGCUGUGUGCCCGGCUCCUGCCAUGCCCUGUGUCCCCAGGCCUGUGAGCUGCAUGUGGCUGGGUUCCGGUUCGCGGUGCUGGACGGAGCCUUCGUGGUUCACGUUGGCUUCAAGGAGGCCUCCGGGUUCCAUGGGGGACGAGCGGCAGAGCAGGAACGGAACCGGAUCCUGUUCCGGAGCUUCCGCUCUGAGCUGCGGCAGCGAUACCCGAGCUCCCCACGGCGCUGCUGACAUGGACACUGACGUGGAUGCUGCACAUGGACAUGGACACCAACACGGAGGUGGGACAUGGAACUUGGAACAUGGAUGUGGGACAUAGACAUGGACAUGGAUGCUGCACAUGGAUAUGGGACAUUGAACAUGGAACAUGGAUGUGGAACAUGGACAUGGAUGCUGCGCAUGCACAUGGAACAUGGAACAUGGAUGUGGUGCUCCCAUGGAUGUGGGACAUGGACAUGGAUGCGGACAUGGAACAUGGAUGUGGGACAUGGACACGGACAUGGAUACUGCACAUGGAUGUGGACAUGGAUGUGGGAGCUCCCCAUGGAUGUAGAACAUGGACAUAGAUACAGACAUGGAUGUGGGACAUGGAUGCUGCACAUGGACAUGGACAUGGACAUGGAUGUGGGAUAUAAGACAUGGACAUGGAUGUGGGAUAUAGGGCAUGGACAUGGAUAUGGGACAUGAAACAUGAGAUGUGGGACAUGGAUGUGGGUGCUGCACAUGGGACAUGGAACAUGGGAUGUGGGACAUGGAUGUGGGACACGGCAUGGAUGUGGCUGCUGUACAGGGGACAUGAAUGUGGGAUAUAGGGCAUGGACAUGGAUGUGGAACAUAGGGCAUAGACAUGGAUGUGGGUGCUGCACAUGGGACAUGGCACUGCAGACAGGACAUGGAACAUGGAACAUGGAUGCUCCAGCCAGGACAUGGAACACAGAACACGGAUGCUCCACCUGGGACACCAUGAGCCA
rnacentral:lncRNA from 14 species